rnacentral:rRNA from 1 species
UACGUAGGGGGGCUAGCGUUGUCCGGAAUCAUUGGGCGUAAAGCGCGUGUAGGCGGUCCGGUAAGUCUGCUGUGAAAGUCGGGGGGCUCAACCCUCGGAAGCCGGUGGAUACUGCUGGGCUAGAGUGCGGAAGAGGCGAGUGGAAUUCCUGGUGUAGCGGUGAAAUGCGCAGAUAUCAGGAGGAACACCAAUUGCGAAGGCAGCUCGCUGGGACGUGACUGACGCUGAGACGCGAAAAGCGUGGGGGAGCAAACAGG